rnacentral:rRNA from 1 species
UACGUAUGGUGCAAGCGUUAUCCGGAUUUACUGGGUGUAAAGGGUGAGUAGGCGGUCAUGCAAGUCAUAUGUGAAAUGUCAGGGCUUAACCUUGGCGCUGCAUAAGAAACUGCAUGACUAGAGUGCAGGAGAGGUAAGCGGAAUUCCUAGUGUAGCGGUGAAAUGCGUAGAUAUUAGGAAGAACACCGGUGGCGAAGGCGGCUUACUAGACUGUUACUGACGCUGAGUCACGAAAGCGUGGGGAGCAAACAGG